GAUGAAGAACGUAGCGAAAUGCGAUAAGUGGUGUGAAUUGCAGAAUUCAGUGAAUCAUCGAAUCUUUGAACGCACAUUGCGCCCCUUGGUAUCCCGAGGGGCAUGCCUGUUCGAGCGUCAUUUCACCACUCAAGCCUGGCUUGGUGUUGGGCGACGUCCCCUUUAGGGACGCGCCUCGAAACGCUCGGCGGCGUGGCACCGGCUUUAAGCGUAGCAGAAUCUUUCGCUUUGGAAGUCGGGGCCCCGCCUGCCGGAAUACCUACUCGUAAGGUUGACCUCGGAUCAGGCAGGGAUACCCGCUGAACUUAAGCAUAUCAAUAAGCGGAGGA
rnacentral:misc_RNA from 1 species